GAUGAACGCUAGCGGCAGGCCUAACACAUGCAAGUCGAGGGAGAAGCCCUUUCGGGGGCAGAAACCGGCGCACGGGUGCGUAACGCGUAUGCAACCUACCUUUCACAGGGGGAUAGCCCGAAGAAAUUUGGAUUAAUACCCCAUAAUAUUAUUGGAUGGCAUCAUUUGAUAAUUAAAACUGCGGUGGUGAAAGAUGGGCAUGCGUCCUAUUAGCUAGUUGGAGUGGUAACGGCACCCCAAGGCUACGAUAGGUAGGGGUCCUGAGAGGGAGAUCCCCCACACUGGUACUGAGACAGGGACCAGACUCCUACGGGAGGCAGCAGUGAAGAAUAUUGGUCAAUGGUCGGAAGACUGAACCAGCCAUGCCGCGUGCAGGAAGAAUGCCUUAUGGGUUGUAAACUGCUUUUAUAUGGGAAGAAUAAGGCGUACGUGUACGUUGAUGACGGUACCAUAUGAAUAAGCAUCGGCUAACUCCGUG
rnacentral:rRNA from 1 species